UUGAUUAUCGGCUUGGCAUGUUUUCGAGGAGACAAUUUCAUUGGUCGACAUAUAUGUUACAGCGAUUGUGAUUGGUUCAGGCAUGGUUUGAUUCAGUCAGUCACGAAGUUUUGGAGCGAAAACACUGCGUUGUUAGAAACCUGUUUCUACAGAGUUGUUCGCUUUUGCAUAAGGUUUUGCAGAACAUAACUUAACCAGCACCGGAAGCGUGAGAUGUGAGGGUUUUCAGUACCACAUAUUGAUUACAUCUCUACAUUUAUUGAGUCUUGUUCUUCCUAUUCGUACAAUACCGUACCGUUAUAUCUGGCGCCCAACCUAACCGAACCUGGACAGACCCA